rnacentral:rRNA from 1 species
AUAACCGGCGAUUUCCGAAUGGGGAAACCCAGUGUGUUUCGACACACUAUCAUUAACUGAAUCCAUAGGUUAAUGAGGCGAACCGGGGGAACUGAAACAUCUAAGUACCCCGAGGAAAAGAAAUCAACCGAGAUUCCCCCAGUAGCGGCGAGCGAACGGGGAGGAGCCCAGAGCCUGAAUCAGUGUGUGUGUUAGUGGAAGCGUCUGGAAAGGCGCGCGAUACAGGGUGACAGCC